GGUUUAAAAUGUUUCUGAAAGAAACUGUUUGUGGGGUUAUGUAAAAUCGCAGUGUCUUGUUAUUUGCUUACGGCAGGAAGAAGCAAAUGAUUUAUGCAGAUGCGCUUUACACGUCAUUUGACUUUCCAGAUAAAAGUGAGCCCGUAUGUUAAGUUCUUAUUGUUACGAAUCGAAUGUUUGUAAUUUUGUUUUCCUCGUUAAAUGUUAUUACGAAUGCGAUAGCAUUGAACGACGUGCUUCGCAAAGGUGUCGUUCUGUAAGAGGGAUACGCUAAGAACUAUUGUUGGGAAUGCAAUAAUGCGAUUUAACUUACUUUCAGGAAAUGAUGAUAUAGUGCAAUGAACUUUCCCGAAUGCAAUGGCUGUGUUGAAAUUUACAGAUGCUUAAAGGUUUCUCUUUGUGAAAGGAAGAAUGUUUGUACAUCAUUGAAAAAACUUUCUUUUAGAAGGUUCAUUACUAUGGUAUCCUAAUGGAACUUCCCUUUUUGUAUAUUACUGAUAUGUCCCAGAUUUUAAGAAGAUGUGUUCAAAUUACUUUGUAGAAAAUGAACUUUUAUGCUUAUAUUGGAAUACAAUUUUUCAGCAUACUUUGCAUCAUUUCUUUAUUGUUUUCUGCUUUGUUAUAACCUGAAAGAUUCUAAA